AACAAGGUUUGGUUAUACCUACGGGGGCUAGACCUGUGGUGUCAUCAUCCAUACGGUUCUACCGUCUGGUAGUUGUAGCAAUAUUAUUAUCGUUAGUAGCUCACGCCUGACAUAAUAUUUUGAUAAAUCUAAUACAUUUUUAGAUUUAAAUAUGACUUUAAUAACUGAAUAAAUACUUUUCUUCUACAAAAAUAUAGAGAGACACUCUCGUUGAAUAUUGUUUUAGUAACGUAUGGGUAAGAUUUUCUAAACGAAGUGUGGCAACCCCAAUUACUUAAUAAAAAAUAAAUAUGUUAUAAAAUUAAAAUGGCGUCAUUUCACCAAAUAAAACACGAAUUCACGAAUAAUAAAAUAAAUGUUUGCCACGGCCUGUUAAUAUUUAUGAAGACCUCUUCAUGGAUUGGAUUUAAGCAACCUGCUGUGUAAUAUCCUCGCCAUUCUUGAUGUUGAGAAGAUCUAUAAGUCUUUUGCGUUUCAUCUGAGUGUUGUGGUUUUUCAUUAUGUUAAAAAUAAGACUUUGUUAGUUCAAGUGUCUCUAUAACUAUGAAGAAGAACAAAAGAAAAUGCUUUGAGUGUGGUUCUUCGCCUGCCGAUGAUCCAGAGAAGACCCUACAGAGAUUACAGAAAUUUGAUUCUACAAAUUUAGUCUCCGUAACGUCCAGAUAAUCAAUGAUUAGACUAUUGGACUUUUAGAAUAAAUUUUACAUUGAACUAUGAAUGGUUUGUCAUCUACAUUUUUAAAAAAGACGAGAUGUUUUGCCUGUAAGAACAAGAGAGAGAGAGAAUAAGAAGCAAUCCUGCUUCUUCACAUUAAUUUUACCCGCAUGACGACGGUUUUUAAUAUAAAAAAUAUUUACACAAUGUCUCAAAAAGCAAUCAAAGCUUUCAAAAAUAAACAAUGUUCGCAGAAGUUCAGUACCAACAAACUCACAAAAAAUGAGCCCAAAAUUUAGCAUUACUUGCAAGCCAGAAUUUCAAGAAGAUAAUUUAAAAGAAGACAAUAGAAUAAAAUAAUAUUAACACACAAUGCUUAGCAAAUAUAGCAUUAACAGAUGGAAACCAGGCAAUAGGUGUAGCAAAAUAGAAGAUGAAGGUCUAGCUGUGCCAGUCAGUGCUGAGCCACACAGUUGCUGCUGGCAUGUUUGCAAAAUAUCACAAGGUGUAGCAAAAUAGAAGAUGAAGGUCUAGCUGUGCCAGUCAGUGCUGAGCCACACAGUUGCUGCUGGCAUGUUUGCAAAAUAUCACAAGGUGUAGCAAAAUAGAAGAUGAAGGUCUAGCUGUGCCAGUCAGUGCUGAGCCACACAGUUGCUGCUGGCAUGUUUGGAAAAUAGCACAAGGUAUAGCAAAAUAGAAGAGGAAGGUCUAGCUGUGCCAGUCAGUGCUGAGCCACACAGUACAGUUGCUGCUGGCAUGUUUGCAAAAUAGCACAAGGUGUAGCAAAAUAGAAGAUGAAGGUCUAGCUGUGCCAGUCAGUGCUGAGCCACACAGUUGCUGCUGGCAUGUUUGCAAAAUAGCACAAGGUGCUGUAAAAUGAAGAUAUAUUGUUAAAUAUCAUGAGAUAGAAAUAAAAGAUGAAGAUCUAACUGUACCCGUCCCGAGCCACACUACUGCAGCCACGUUGCUGCUGGCAUUUUUGCAAAAUAGCACAAGGUCACAACAAUUGAUGUAACAAUUAUAAUCAAUGGACCAGGCACCUGCACCAUGAUUCUUUAGAAUACUAAAAUUCGUCUCUUUAUGUCUGUACUUCUCAUAAUGAAAAAUGUCACAUUUUUAUGAAAGAAAUAAUGGAAUCAAAUAAUAAAUAAAACAAGCAUAUGCUGGAAGUCUUCAGAAACAGCUCCGACUUUGAUGAUUUUUUUUUAAAGUCAUUUUUUUUAUGUUAUUUAAAAUCAGAAAUGUUUUGGUGGACGAAAUUAUUUAAAUUGUUAAAAAAUAUCUAUGCUAUUUAUACAUAUUUUUUUUUAAAUACAACCGACUUCAAAAAUACAAACUUAUGCAGAAAAGUAAUAAACGAAAGAAAAUAUUAUAAUAUUUUCUAUCUAUUGAUCACUUUGAAGGCGGUGCCAAUGGUCCAAUUAAUGGGCCGACAAUUAGUUAUCUAAUGUUUUCCUAGCUAUAGGGUUCGAAUUGCUUUUUCAUAUCUUUAAAAGACUAUCUUCGGAAUGAACCCUUUAUAAUAAAAAAGUAUUAUCAAAAUCGGACCACUCAAUAAAAAGUUAUACUUGGUUGUAUACUAAAAUUAAUGGUUAAUCAAUCAUCCCCUGUUUUUGUAAUGUAAAACCAAGCAUAACUGUUAACAUGAGUAGUCCGAUUUUGAUAAUUCUUUUGAUUGAUCAUUCUUGAUUGUUUUAGUUUAAAACCAAGCAUGUCUUCGAAUUCCGAUUUGAAUAACUUUGUUUUAAAUAGAAAGGGUAUAUUCCGACAAUGGUCCCAAAUCAUUAUAAAUUUUAAUUAUUCCCAUUAAUUGUAUUGUAAAAAUAUGCGUAACUUAUUACGAAGUGGUCCGAUUUCGUAAAUUCUUUAUAGAUUGUAAAGGUAUUUUGAUUGUAAAGCUCCCAUAUAAAUUUUAAAAAACAAUUCCAAUCCUAAAUGUGCGAUUGAUUGUUUUCUCAUUCAUUUUAAUAUAAAACCAAGCAUAACUUUUUAUUGGGUGGUUCGAUUUUGAUUAUUCUUUUUUUGAUAGAAAGGGUAUAUUCCUAAAAGUCUCAUAAAAUGUUGGAAAACAAUUUCAAACCUAAUAGUAGGAAAAUAGAAGAUGAUUAAUUGUUUUCCCAUUAAUUGUAAUGUUAAGCUAUGCGUAACUUUUUACUGAGUGGACCGAUUUUGAAAAUUCUUUACUUUUUGUAAAGGGUUUAUUUCGAAGUAGGUCCCAUAUAAAUUUCGGAAAACAAUUCGAAUCCUUAAGGUGGAAAAAAACGGUACGAUUGAUUGCCUACCCAUUAAUUGUACAAUUGGCACCGGCUUCAGUAAUCAGUAGAUAGAAAAUAUUAUAAUGUUUUCUUCAGCUUAUUAGUUUACUGCAUAACUUUGUGUUUUUGAAGUCGGUAGUGUUUAUUUUUUUAAUAAUUUAUUAUAUAAAUAGCAAUAACUAUUGUUAAAUAGUAUAAAUCGUUCCAUCAUCACUCCAAAAGGUUUCUGAUUUGAAAUGAUAUGAAGAAACAAACUGAACAAAAAUAAUCAUCAAAAUCAGAGCUGUUUCUGAGGAGGUAGAGGGUAAAUGCUCUAUUGAUUCGCCUAAAAGUAAUAUUAUGUUAUCGCAUUAGGUUGUAAAGUUUGGCUAAUGAAAGUAGAGACUGAAAUUGCCCGCCAAAUUUAAAAAUCAUAUAAACAAAUUAAAAAACAUGCGUUUUCAUAAUUUAUUUAAAUUAGUUUUUCUUUGUGAAUACAUUAUUACCUAUACUAUAAGUGUUAAACUCAGUUAUUCCAAUAUUUGCACUAUAAUUUUGAGAAUUUACUUCGAUUUUUUAAAAUUUGGCGGGUGAUUUCAGUUUCUACUUUCAUUAGCCAAAUUCUAAUAAUUUUAUUGUUUAUGAAAUUUAUACUAAUUAGAAAGAAGAAGAAUUUGAUUAUUGAUUUGUUUGCAUUGAAUAGGCUGUGAAACUACUUUGCUGAUUUAAAAAUUUGUUACAGCAUUAUAAUCAUGGAUUAGGCCAUAAUUCUUCUUCUUCUUCUUCUUUCUUCUGGGCCGUUUCCGCACUUAGCCAAGUGUUUGGCCGUUGUGCGUGGGUCCCUUGGUGUAGGUUCCCGCUGGAUUUAUUCCAUCCAGCCGAGCUCGCUCCAGAAGCUUAGCAGGCCGCCCAGGUCGCCGAUAGCCUCUUGGAGUGUCGCUGAGGAGCCAAUGUAGGUUGCUCGUUGUUCCGUUACGCCUCUGCAACUGAGCAUAACGUGUAGCGGUGUCUCGUCCUCCUCCAUGCAGGCUCUGCACAGAGGACUGUCGGUCAAACCUAGAAUUGAAAGGUGUUUGUUUAGCGGGCAGUGACCUGUUAUUAGGCCAACUACUGUUCUCAGCUUGUCUCGUGUGAGGUUCAUAAGUUUCUUUGUUAUCCUUGGGUCGAGGCCUGGGAGUGCCUCUUUUGUAUGUCUACAUGUGGUUAUGCUGUCCCAUAGUUCGGCGUGGGUUCUGAUGGUUUGUUUGUGCAACCAUGUUUUGUAUUCACUGAAUGGUAUGGGUACUAUUGGUUCGGGCCCUACUACCUUCAGUGUCGUGGCGCGACGCGCCAGUUCAUCAGCCGCUUCAUUUCCUAAGAUUCCGCUGUGUCCCUUUAUCCAUCUUAAUGUAACUAAGUUAUUUGUUGCAAGUUUUGUUAGGGCCUUGUGACAGUCUAGCAGUAGUUUUGACGUAGUCGAGUGUUUUGCCAGUGCUUUUAGUACUGCUUGACUGUCGCUAAGUAUAUUAAUGUUAAAAUUUGUUACCUGUCUGUUGGUCACGGCAACAGCCGCAGUUGUGAUGCCGACGCAUUCUGCCUGGAAGACUGAGUUGUGCUUACCAAGCGCUUGUGCAAUCCGUAUGUUGAGGUCUUGGCAGUAGACUCCUGCUCCAGUACCUGUGUCAGUCUUCGACCCAUCCGUGUACACAUCUAGGGCGUCAGGGUUUGUGUAGUAGUCACCGGCCUCCUCAGUGUUGAUUUUGUAGGGUUUGUCCAUCACAAAUUGUUUCUGUGUUUUAUCGCAUAUCCACUCCAUACUUGGGUUCAUUUGUAUUCCCUCUUUUAAGAUGUUAGUGUGGGCUGUGUUUGUUUGUUUCCACAACCCGCAUGUUUUUAGUCUAAGGGCUGUAAGCGUUGCUUCCUCUUUUAUGUGGAGGUGUAAUGGAGGGAUUCCUAGUAUUACUUCCAUUGCAGCCGUAGGUGUUGUGCACAUACUGCCCGUUAUGGAUAGCAGUGCUUGUCUUUGGAAUUUUUGAAGUUCCUGUUGUGUUGUUGUUUGGAGCACUUUUGGCCACCAGACUAUAGAAGCAUAUGUCACUGAGCUUCUUACGACUGUAAGGUAUAGCCACUUCAUUAUGUGCGGUUUUAGUCCCCAUGUUUUGCCUAUCAUGCGUUUGCACUGACAUAGGAUGAUUGUAGAUUUUUGAAUUUUCGUUUCAAUAUGUUUUUUCCAGUUUAACUGUUGAUCUAGUGUUACCCCUAAGUAUUUUACUUCUGUGGUUAGCUUUAGGGUUACUUUGAAUAAAGUCGGUGUUUUUGGAAUGUUUGGUUUUCUUUUGUGUGUGAACAGAAUGAGUUCUGUUUUUCUGGGGUUAACAGAUAGUUCGUUGAGUGUACACCAUUUCUCUAUCUGCUUGAGUGCAUCUUGCAUUAUUCCACUAAGGGUGUUUUCAUGUUUUCCUCCUAUAAGUAUUGUUAGGUCGUCGGCGUACCCUAUUGUUAGGAAGCCUUUGUUGUUCAGUUUGCUGAUUAGUUCAUUUACCACCAAGUUCCAUAGUAGUGGUGAGAGUACACCUCCUUGAGGGCAUCCUCUGGCAGCGAUGGCUUGGAUUUUUCCAUUUAUGUUUAUUUGUAUCGCCCUGAGUGAUAAGAGGGCGUUUUUAGGCCAUAAUUGUUAUCUCUGUAUUCCCACGGGAACGAAAACUACGCUGGUGAAACUGCGUGACGUUUGCAUAGUUUAUCAUAUGUACAAAUAUCCCGACAAUCUAUAUUUUUAUGUAUGAAUUGGUUAAGUUAUAAUUGACUUGAUUUUCCAAAAUAUCUCAGUGAAGUCACCCAAUUGAUGCAUAGGUAUAUUUUUAUUUUGGUUUUCAUUUUACUUUAAAGAUAAAAUUUAGUUUUAGAAGCAAAAUGAAUAUAUUUAGAUUACAUUUUAGGUGCUGAUGUUUACUUAGUUAUUGAUUAAGUGCAUAAGAUUUUUUAUUUGAUAAUAAAGACAUUUCAAUUUGAAA